GUUGUAAUCUGAAUACAGGGAGAGGUUGUAAUCUGAAUAAAGGGAGAGGUUGUAAUCUGAAUACAGUGAGAGGUUGUAAUCUGAAUACAGUGAGAGGUUGUAAUCUGAAUACAGGGAGAGGUUGUAAUCUGAAUACAGUGAGAGGUUGUAAUCUGAAUACAGUGAGAGGUUGUAAUCUGAAUACAGGGAGAGGUUGUAAUCUGAAUACAGGGAGAGGUUGUAAUCUGAAUACAGGGAGAGGUUGUAAUCUGAAUACAGGGAGAGGGUGUAAUCUGAAUACAGUGAGAGGUUGUAAUCUGAAUACAGUGAGAGGUUGUAAUCUGAAUACAGGGAGAGGUUGUAAUCUGAACAAAGGGAGAGGUUGUAAUCUGAAUACAGGGAGAGGUUGUAAUCUGAAUAAAGGGAGAGGUUGUAAUCUGAAUACAGUGAGAGGUUGUAAUCUGAAUACAGUGAGAGGUUGUAAUCUGAAUACAGGGAGAGGUUGUAAUCUGAAUACAGUGAGAGGUUGUAAUCUGAAUACAGUGAGAGGUUGUAAUCUGAAUACAGGGAGAGGUUGUAAUCUGAAUACAGUGAGAGGUUGUAAUCUGAAUACAGUGAGAGGUUGUAAUCUGAAUACAGGGAGAGGUUGUAAUCUGAAUACAGUGAGAGGUUGUAAUCUGAAUACAGUGAGAGGUUGUAAUCUGAAUACAGGGAGAGGUUGUAAUCUGAAUACAGUGAGAGGUUGUAAUCUGAAUACAGUGAGAGGUUGUAAUCUGAAUACAGUGAGAGGUUGUAAUCUGAAUACAGUGAGAGGUUGUAAUCUGCAUAAAGGAGAGGUUGUAAUCUGAAUAAAGGGAGAGGUAAUCUGCAUAAAGGGAGAGGUUGUAAUCUGAA